UAUAGGCUGCUGCUGCUGUUAUUCCAGACUCAGGAUCUUUAGGGCCAUCCGUGUAUAUUUGUAAUAUGCUAUAAUAUGUUUGUUCAAUGUAUUGCUGCACUGCUAUAUUUGUUAACAUAUUUCUUUCUUUGUGGUGUUUUUUUUUUCAUAACUACAGAGUGCCACAAUAACCCUGGGACUGGCAAUCACAGUGCUGUCAGAGGCACUCAAAACAGGGUUAUUGCUGGCUACUAUUGGUCUACAAUUAUCCAGGAUGUGAAAGACUGGGUCAGAUCUUGUCACCGCUGCCAGUUAAAUGACCCAAUAAAGACUGUUGUGCCAGUCUUGCAUUCCAUUAAGGUA